GCGUGUGUGAUGAAGGCCCUAGGGUUGUAAAGCACUUUCGCCGAUGACGAUGAUGACGGUAGUCGGAUAAGAAGCCCCGGCUAACUCCGUGCCAGCAGCCGCGGUAAUACGGAGGGGGCGAGCGUUGUUCGGAAUUACUGGGCGUAAAGGGCGCGUAGGCGGUGACGCUAGUCAGACGUGAAAGCCCCGGGCUCAACCUGGGAGGUGCGUUUGAUACUGCGUUGCUUGAGAGCGGAAGAGGGUAGUGGAAUUCCCAGUGUAGAGGUGAAAUUCGU
rnacentral:rRNA from 1 species